rnacentral:rRNA from 1 species
AGGACGAACGCUGGCGGCGUGCUUAACACAUGCAAGUCGAACGAGGAAUAGGGUGCUUGCACCUUAUAACCGAGUGGCGGACGGGUGAGUAACACGUGAUCAACCUGUCUUGGGGCGGGGGACAACCCGGGGAAACCUGGGCUAAUACCGCAUAAUGUCCGAUGUCCGCAUGGACGACGGAUGAAAGGGGGCCUCUGCUUGCAUGCUCUCGCCCAAAGAGGGGAUCGCGGCGUAUCAGCUUGUUGGUGAGGUAAUGGCUUACCAAGGCUACGACGCGUAGCGGGUCUGAGAGGACGACCCGUCACAUUGGGACUGAGAUACGGCCCAGACUCCUACGGGAGGCAGCAGUGGGGAAUAUUGCGCAAUGGCCGAAAGGUUGACGCAGCGACGCCGCGUGUGGGAUGAAGCUCCUCGGAGUGUAAACCGCUGUCAGGGGGGAAGAACGUCGGUUAUGUGAAUACCAUAGCCGAGUGACGGUACCCCCAAAGGAAGCGCCGGCUAACUCCGUGCCAGCAGCCGCGGUAAUACGGAGGGCGCAAGCGUUGUUCGGAAUUACUGGGCGUAAAGCGCGCGCAGGCGGUCCUUUUAGUCCAUUGUGAAACUCCGGGGCUCAACCCCGGACAUGCAUUGGAUACUGGAGGACUAGAGACCGGUAGAGGCUAGCGGAAUUCCUGGUGUAGCGGUGGAAUGCGUAGAUAUCAGGAAGAACACCGGUGGCGAAGGCGGCUAGCUGGGCCGGGUCUGACGCUCAGGUGCGAAAGCGUGGGGAGCAAACAGGAUUAGAUACCCUGGUAGUCCACGCCGUAAACGAUGGGCACUAGGUGCCGGGUCUAUAGACGGAUUCGGUGCCGCAGCUAACGCAUUAAGUGCCCCGCCUGGGGAGUACGGCCGCAAGGCUG